rnacentral:rRNA from 1 species
AUGCAGAAUAAUAGAGCAACUGAUGUCUUCAAUUCCAUUAUCAAUGCUUUUGCUCUUAGAGAGAUUUAUACUAGUGGGGGAAAAUACACCUGGACCAAUAAUCAAGCCCAUCCUACCCUAGAAAAAUUAGAUCGCAUCCUGAUGUCUGAAGGGUGGGAGGACCUUUUUCCUAUGGUGUCUGUCAGAAAGUUGGUUCGUGAAAUUUCAGACCACAACCCCCUGCUUCUCUCUGGAGGGGGAGAGGGGCGCGAAGCUCCUAAACCUCGUGAGUUUCGUUUUAAUUUGGCGUGGAUUAAGGAUCAAGAUUUCCUUCCUACGGUCAAUAGGAUCUGGUCGAGGAAGGUUCAUUCCUCUGACCCUAUUGACGUCCUAAAUAUCAAGCUAAAAAGAUUUAAGAAUUAUUUCAAAGGGUGGGGGUCGAUUAGAUAUGGCCAUGACAAGAGAAGAAAAGAAGAGUUCAGAUUGGAGCUAGCUAUGUUGGAGGAACUGGAAGAGAGUGGCCCCCUAUCCCCUGAGAUGUAUAGUAUCAAAAUUGACGUAAGUGCGGAACUGCAUGAACUCCUGGUAAAUGAGGAGAUUUUUUUGGUUACAACAAUCACAUGA